AUGCAUCUCUCUGGGGGACAUGACACCAAAGCUAAGAGCGCCCGGCCCGGGAUAUAAACCAGCCACCUUUGGACCACAGGUCCAACUCCUGCCACAGCUCCAACUCCUUAGCCGCUGGACGAAAACCUGAGUUAAUCUUGAGAAAUUAGCAUAAAUUAAUCUGCCAAAAUGAAGACAAAACGCUUUGGAGACAUACAUGGUAUCACUUGUUAUACAUAAGUAUUAUACAUAAAUCAUUGCCAAAAGCACAAGACAUAUAUUAUUUAUGGAUUGACCAUAUAGAGAUAUAAAACAUUAUUUUUAACUACUGCAAAGCAAUUACAUGUGGCUCAGGAACCACUGACUCGCUGCAUUAUUCUAUUGUAUUAUCAAGACACCUGCUGUUAACUCUUAACUACUUAGGACAGCUCACGAGGUGUUCUAAAUAUCUGCCGACUAGGUGGGACUAGAGACUUCAUGCAUAGCUUUAAUUUAUACCCAUAAGUGUAA